rnacentral:rRNA from 1 species
UACAGAGGUCUCAAGCGUUGUUCGGAUUCAUUGGGCGUAAAGGGUGCGUAGGUGGCGCUGUAAGUCGGGUGUGAAAUUUCGGAGCUUAACUCCGAAACUGCAUUCGAUACUGCGGUGCUUGAGGACUGGAGAGGAGACUGGAAUUCAUGGUGUAGCAGUGAAAUGCGUAGAGAUCAUGAGGAAGACCAGUGGCGAAGGCGGCUCUCUGGACCACAACUGACGCUGAGGCGCGAAAGCGUGGGGAGCAAACAGG